rnacentral:lncRNA from 1 species
CUGGUAACUCCUCCAGCUCCUCUCUAGCGCCUAGGCGGAGAAGCUGGCAUUGCCGUGGCAUUUGCUGGCAGCCAGCUGUGCCCUACUUGGAGAGCAGCUCUCCGCUUCUGCCUCCUGCUGCCCCGUCUGCCCGGCCACGGGAGAAUCCUGCUGAAAAAAAGUUGAAUAUCAGGCCCUGGGUCCGAGUCCUCCCGUUGCCUUUGAGGAGCACUUGCUACAGCAGACGGCGCGUGGAGCCCCUGCCGGCCAGGUGCUAGGGUUGGGCUUGCAGAUCUCUACAGCUCCAUUGCUGUGAGGAAUGAAGCUGUCAGGGGAAGACAUGAUUCUCUGGGCUUGGCCCACAGAAACGAGGACAGCCUUCUGCAAAGAAGUAGACGUGGCGGUCCAGAGACUGCAGAACUGUUAAACCCAUGUGUACCUUUCAUUUGCCUGUGGUCCAGUUUAAAAGCACGUGAUGACUUCAGAUACUAA